UCUAAAAUGGCAGAAUAGUGCAUUGGACUUAAGAUCUAAAUAUAAAGUAAAACUUUUUUUAGAA
rnacentral:tRNA from 1 species